AUUGAACGCUGGCGGCAGGCCUAACACAUGCAAGUCGAACGAGUGGCGGACGGGUGAGUAAUGUCUGGGAAACUGCCUGAUGGAGGGGGAUAACGACGGGAAACGGUAGCUAAUACCGCAUACCAUCAGAUGUGCCCAGAUGGGAUUAGCUUGUUGGUGGGGUAACGGCUCACCAAGACGACGAUCCAUAGCUGGUCCGAGAGGAUGACCAGCCACCCUGGGACUGAGACCCGGUACAUAUUCCUACGGGAGGCAACAGUGGGGAACAUUGCACAAUGGGCGCAAAGCUGAUGCAGCCCUGCCGCGUGUAUGAAGAAGGCCUUCGGGUUGGAAAACAAUUUCAGCGGGGAGGCGUUACCCGCAGAAGAAGCACCGGCUAACUCCGUGCCAGCAGCCGCGGUAAUUC
rnacentral:rRNA from 1 species